rnacentral:lncRNA from 1 species
UACAGAGGCAUGUAGCUUUGCAACCUUCUUUAACAACUGGAUCUUCACAGGUUACCAUCUUCUUCAGAUCUAUACAGGUAGAAUGAUCACCUUCAUGUCCACAACUAUUGGUGCACAGCCCAUCUUCAGAGUGAUCAGGACAACUGGCACAUGGUACUCCUACUGUGUAUGAAUUCAAAAGCUGAAUAUAUCCAAGGCAUGAGGGUAAUACAAACAUGGAAGGACAGGUACAUUUUUUUUCUGUUGAUAAAAAAUCCUCUUAAAAACAAAAAAUGAUAGAAAGAUUAUGAAGA